UGGGGCGGCGCUACCAUGCAGUCGAACGGUAACAGGAAGCAGCUUGCUGCUUUGCUGACGAGUGGCGGACGGGUGAGUAAUGUCUGGGAAACUGCCUGAUGGAGGGGGAUAACUACUGGAAACGGUAGCUAAUACCGCAUAACGUCGCAAGACCAAAGAGGGGGACCUUAGGGCCUCUUGCCAUCGGAUGUGCCCAGAUGGGAUUAGCUAGUAGGUGGGGUAACGGCUCACCUAGGCGACGAUCCCUAGCUGGUCUGAGAGGAUGACCAGCCACACUGGAACUGAGACACGGUCCAGACUCCUACGGGAGGCAGCAGUGGGGAAUAUUGCACAAUGGGCGCAAGCCUGAUGCAGCCAUGCCGCGUGUAUGAAGAAGGCCUUCGGGUUGUAAAGUACUUUCAGCGGGGAGGAAGGGAGUAAAGUUAAUACCUUUGCUCAUUGACGUUACCCGCAGAAGAAGCACCGGCUAACUCCGUGCCAGCAGCCGCGGUAAUACGGAGGGUGCAAGCGUUAAUCGGAAUUACUGGGCGUAAAGCGCACGCAGGCGGUUUGUUAAGUCAGAUGUGAAAUCCCCGGGCUCAACCUGGGAACUGCAUCUGA
rnacentral:rRNA from 1 species